AAUAAAGCAAGCAAGUUUUCCAGACCUUAACUUGACCUGACCUGACUACAAAUAGAAUGUCAGUACGCAGGACUAAAGUAGCUAUGACACCUUUCAGAAACAGUCAGCCAGAAUCUUAUAAAUUCUGUGCAGAGGCGGUUUUAUUUGAGAAGCUGGGCACUCCAAGAUGCUUUCUCUUUCUCCUCCUCCCCCCUUCCUCUUCCUCUUUCUUCCUCCUCCUCCUUCCACUUCCUCUUCCUGUACUGUACUCUCUGAUAGGAGGGAAGACACUUAACAGAGGACGAAAGUAAUUUAUUUGCUUAUCAUCACUCCAUAUUCGGACCCAACUUUUCCCACGAACCUUGUAUUUUAUUGAUUCCUAAAUUGUUUAUAAAAUGAUGUGCCUUGAAAAACUGAAGUCCCACACAUAAAAUCGAGAAAUAGGCUUGUUUAAGGGCUCUGCUCUAGGAAGAUGGCGGUGAGCUGUAGACUGCACUGCUGGAUGUGAACUCCGAGCUGACGUUUGCACAGUUGGAAAUAGAAAGGAAAGAGAACACAAGGAGAUGAAUAUUGAGAAAAGGUUCGAGCUGCAGAGAAGGAAGGUUCCUGUCAGAUGGCCUGUGACUGUUCAGUGACGUCUAAGACAGAGUCACCUCUAAAGCAUGAAGCUGGCAAAAGACACUUUCAAACACUCUAAAGCAUGACACUUUCAAGAGAAUAAGAAAACUUGUGUGUAAGCCCAAUUAUAAUUUGUACUGAUUUUUUUCAAAGCUGACUUCCAUUAUAAUCUUAUAGUAUGUUUUACUCAGAUUUGUUAAAUUCUUAUUCUUUAAUAGAAAAUUCCAGCAUUAUGAAAGAACUUUCCAAUAGCUCUUUAUCAAAGACAUCCAGGAGAAAAACACUGUGGCAGCCUUUGUGAUAUUACUGACCUGGGAACCACUGGUGUAUAGCAUUUAGAACCAACUAUUUUGAUAAAUAGUUUCAUCAAAGAGCUUUAUUCUAAGUAUAAAUUAUUCUGCUGUUUUCCUAUGGAUUUCAGAACUUGUCAUCUGCCUCAGAGCUAGUGUUUUGGUCCUGUAGAAAGGUUCACAGGUUUCCUACACUUAGUCCAAAAGCUGGCAGCCAAUGAAGUCUUUGAGUUAUGCUAGAAGUACAAAGACUUCCAUCACACUCACAACACCAUAGAUACUGUCAUCACAUGCCAGGAGCCUCAGCCUGAUGGGCUGUGUCCCUCCCUCUUAGAAUACGGUGCAGAUCUUGGUCCUCUGAGCCUUCCUCUGUUCACUCUAUGAGAGUAGGCAACUAUGAAAUACCAUCUUUCGGUACACACUGGACUGGGGCACAAUUACAUUUGGGAUAAUUGUCUUAUAGCUCCAUAGACCUGGCUCCCUCUGAGUUGUGCUAGCAAUACUGGAUUUUGUUGAACUGAAUCAAUCCAAAUAUGAGAACAUAAAGUCAGUUCUCCAGAAUAAGCUCAGACACCCUAUGAUGUGCUUGACAGGGCACUUCCAAGUUCCAACAGUCUCUACCACUGUGUAGGGGUUAUGGAAUAUUAUGGAAUAUAUGGGGGGUAUGUGUGUAGCUCAUGUUUCUGCAUUCUGACUUCUAUACUUACCAAAUUGCUUAAAAAACAAAGCCCAAAGUGAAUUUGAGAGCCCCAAAGGUGGUCUUUUCUGCAUUUAUUUUAGUGCGCCCAGACUGUCAGAAUCUUUCUUCUAGUUUAUGCUCUGAACACACCAUGGAGGAAUGUUUCUUAAACUAUGGUAGAGACCAAUACUCUAGAAUCAUUUGAAAUUAUUGCUUCAAAUGUUUGUUUAUGGCCUCCAUUCAGACAUAUUGAAUCAAAUUCACUGAAAAUGAGCUUAGAAAUAUGCAGUUUAAACAAGUACCCCCAGCCCUUCUCAUGUCUACUAAUAGUUGAAAAAUAUAGCUGUGUCAGCAUCCUUCCUAGCUAAGCUCUAGUUCAGAAUCUUCACAAAUGUUUGCUAUAAAUCUGUAACUAUCUGUGCUCUACCUGACCCAAUGACCUAGUCAAAGUUGUAUGAUUUGGGAGAGAAAGUUGUUGACUAGUAAUGAACCAUGAAGCCUAAAAUGAUCACAUGAAAAAGGGUCAUAUUUCUAAAAAAGGUAGAAACAAUGUUGCAACUAACACCCAAUCACCCAAAGAUUAAGUCAAAACUCCAUUUGUUGGUUUUAAUUCCUUCCUCGAGCCAAAGUCAGGGCAAACCAGGCCAUGUACCAAAAGCAGAGAGCAACAAGAUGUGCUUUCCAGGGCGAGAGAACUGUUGUGAGUGGGAACCCACAAAGACUGGAAAAGCUGGGAAUAUUUUGUACUGGCUGGUAGUUGUUGUAUAUUUAGAGCAAGGCAUAGAGCUACAGGAGCUGAGCCAGAGGGGUGAGGAGAUACUUGGAACGGCCCGCAUGGUCAAAAGACCCUGGCAAGAUCCAGCAGAAGAAGGGAGGAGCUGUCUAACAAGAAAACACUGUGUAAAUAGACAUCAACAAUAUACAACAGCUAAUCACAUGACACUGGCCAAAGCAGAGGAUUUUGUAGUUUAGGCAAUUCCAUACUAAUACUCUGAAUAUCACUAAUGUCAGCUCUUUUGUCUCACGAAGUGAGAGACCUCUUGAAACAAAGAUGCCUAAACACAGAAGUCUCAUGUAUUCUAUCCAAGGUACCAACUAGAUUAAGCCACACCAAAAACCAAAUCUAAACUUAAUCAGAAGCUGUUUUGUUAGUUCCUGUCCUGAAAGUUUCCCAAGUGUGUUUGUUUCAUACUUAGCUGGGUAAGAUGACUAUCAGAGAUUGGAAUUCAGCUUUAUCUCUCAAACAGAUAUUUGGCUAAUAAGGAUCAGUGACCACCAGCAGCUCACAACAUCCAUUCCAUUAACUUUGUGUAGUCUGAAUUAAUAGUCCCAACUUUGCAAAUAAGCAGAUGUCCUGGGAAGGACACCCAUUGGCCUACAUGAGGGUAGCAUAUGUGUUUCUUUGAUAUGAGAUUGUGGUUAUCAUGUGGAGCAGGGUAAUCAGCUCAUCCCACAUGGCCUCAUAUUCUUUCAGUUUUAAAACUGAAAGAGGGUCAUCUAUGUCAACAAACUUCUCAGUUCCAGGCAAUCCAGGAAGAUUGUCACACCAGGCAUGUGAGGUCAGCUGUACACUGUGUAGAAUGAAUUACUCAUAAGAAAGAACAUUUCUGUUACCAGAUAAAGAGAUAUGAGUGGCUAAAGGAGGCAGAAUGGUCCCUUAACCCACUUUGGAUCUAUGUGGAAUGGAUAGGAAAUGUCCUCAGUCAGCCCCCUUCUCUGAAGUACCACCAGGGCAGAUUUCUUCUAAUCAGGCUGGGGUUACAGAGCUGUUCUAGGUGACCACCUCAGAGUGUUUCCUCUGUCAAGGACUGAGAAUUCUCUUUAGGAUCCUUUGUAACCUCUCUAAGGCUGUUCAGUGAUCCUACUUCCUGACUUGGCCUGGAUAUGACUGUCGUCUGUGACCUGACAGCUUGCUCCUCACUUUCAUUUUUGUGUUUGUUCUGUUUCAUAAACUUACAUCAUCCUGGUCCCCCGAUUCACAGCUGCAUCAUUCUUGGAAUCAGCUGAGUAUACUUCACAAGGUCUAAGCAAACUCUGCCACUGAGAUCCAGCCAAGCCUUCUUGCAGUUACCACGGCUCCCACCACACCACUGUCCACCAAAAUCUCCUGUUGAAUUUUGAGAUGAAGGCUUAAUACUUUUGCCUACUAAUCCAGUUAACUCUAACUUGAACUCAAAACCUUGAAUCUUUUUACUGCACCACAUUCUAUCACAUAAUAUGAUGAUGAUAGCUAGUUAAAGAAGGUCACAACUGACAGCUGAAGACUAUUAUUUUUAAAAUUCUGCUUUUUGAUUUCUUUUUAUUUUAUAUAUAACUGGUUUAUUUACUUUUCUCUUAUUGCUGAGACAAAAUACCUGAUGUCCAAAUUUAAGGAAGAAGAGGUUUAUUUAGCUCACAGUUUGUGGAAGUUUCAGUCCACAAUCAGCUGGCUCCAAGGCAGGGUGGCACAUGGCAGAAGGAAAACUAACCACUCAUGGUGGUAGAAGACAGCAAAAGCAACAAAAGAAUAAGGGGGAAAAAAGCAAGUCUCUUUUCCUCUCUUACAUUACAUUCAGGCUACUCACCCUAGGGAGGGUCCUCUACAGAACAGGUAGAUACAAAAGAGAUUGAGGGCAGCAAACAUGCAAUAUCAGACAUGGCAUCAGUGAACAUAAAGAGAUAUCUUUGGGACCUCAUACAUGAGCUCAAAAGUGAAAUAUUUAAUCAACAAAGCAAAAUAUAAGUAGAUGUGUCGGGGUCGCUCCCGGCCGGCAGGAAAGACACACGACAAAGUCUGGCGGUGUGCAACCUUGCCUUUAUUUGUCUCCGCGUGGGCCCCGCGAGGCCUCCUCUCUGCCACCAGCCCUCUCUCGCCGGUGGACUUUCUCUAUCUCUCUCUGUGCUUCUUCCCUCGUGGCGGGAGAGGCAUUCACUUUUAUAGGGUAACAGUGGCCAAUCAGUUCAAAGCGCGCGAUGCGGGCUGAUUGGCUAACAUCAGUUGUUGCUAGGCAGACUAUCUUACAGAGCAGGUUGUUUAAGUCGCCAGCGCAAUCAGGGGGCAGGAAGCAGGCGCCAACUUGGCUCACUCGAUGGGAGGGGCAAUCUAGCUCAGGCUCCGCUCCCACCCACAGGCCCUACGUCCACCAAGUAAGGCGACCGGUGUCGGCCGUGGCUCCCAACAUAGAUGAAUAAAAGAAAUGCUAAGCACCUCUUAAGAAGACACAGAAGAAUGGAGGAACACAAAAAAAGGAGAGAAACAGUCAAUGAAGAAUAUAAAGAAAACCUAGAAUACAUGAAGCAGGUUCAAAGAAAGUCCCAGGAAAUAAAAAAAACUCAAUUGAAAGCUGGCAAAACUGCUUGAAAGAAACUAAAGGUAGACAGUCAAAACUUGAAGAUAGGCUUGCAAUGUAGGAUCAUGAAAGGAAAAAUUUCUUAAAAAUAACAAGGAAACAGGCAGUAACAAUACAAAGGCUAGAAGAUGAUAAGAGGAUCUAUAACUUAAGAAUAAAGAAUGUGAAUGAAGAAGCAGGAGUAAGAAAAAAGGAAAUACAAAGGCUAUUCAGAGAAAUAAUUAAGGAAAACUUCCCAAGCAUAGGAAAAGGAAUUGAUUUUCAGAUGUAUGAGGUAUACAGAACUUUAGCCACCUACAACCAAAACAGAGCUACACCCAGACAUAUAAUAAUCAAGAUUCCAGAAAUUCAGUAUAAGAACAGAAUAUUGAAAGCUAUCAGAGAUAAGAAACAGAUUGCCUAUAAAGGAAAACCCAUCAAAAUCAUGGCAGACUUCUUGACACAGACCAUCAAAUCAAGAAGAGCUUGGGGUGAAGUAUUCCAAGCUCUGAAAGAAAAUAACCUCCAGCCCAGAUUGAUGUACCCAGAAAAACUGUCUCUAGAAAUUAAUGGAGAAACAAGAUGCUUCCAAGACAAAGAGGAACUGGGGGAAUUCGCAACCACCAAUCUGACUCUACAGAGAAUACUGAAGGACAUUCUAGAGAGAGAGAAAGUACCAGGUUUUCAGGAACAGUGGCAGAGAGGCCUCAAUGAAUGGGUAAGAAAGUGAAAUGAAGGAUAAAAGCAGACAACUAAUGGCAGAAAAAUAGCACAACAAAUGGCAGAGAAAGUUGGCUAUAAUCUGUAAUAUAAAUGGCAUUGAUACACUAAAUAAAAAAAGCAGAAACACACACAGAGUAGAUCAGGGGAUAGGGUCCACCAAGGUGUCCUUUGUAGGAAAUAUAAUUUAUCUGAUAAGGGUAUAUGGACCAAAAAUCAAAUAUGAGAAAACAGUACUCUAUGUGACUGGGAACCAGAGAGUAAUAGGGGCAACUAGAUCAGUAUUUGUGGAUAGGUUGGAAAAACAGGCAUUAAUAGGUAAAGGAAUACAACUAAAGGUCAAGUCCAAGAAGGAGAAGGUUCAGAACCACUUAGGUAAAUAGCAGGUUGCCCACCCCAAUUUAAAACCAAGGGUUUGGUGAAACCCAAAAAUGCACAGUGCAGCCUGGGGAGUGAAAGGGAAGGGAUAGUCUUUAAAAAGACAGCAAAAGAUAUUGUCAAUAGUGUAUCAGGAAUUAAAACCCACAUUACUCACACCGCUGUGCUUAGAUAGAAUUUAUUCUGUCCCAGUUUGUCUACAUGCACUAGAUCUGAGGGCACAGAGAGCUAUCACAAAAAUAUCAUGAUAUAGCACAGUAAUCAUCUUUAAUUUCCUAUUAUCUUAAUCUGGAUCCCUAUAUAACUUAUACUGUUUUAUCAUGACUGAUCUUAGUUAAAUCUGGUUUAUUUGAUUGCUGUUUGGUAUUGACAGAUUUUAUUCAAAACUGUUAUAAUAGAUAGUAUCAAGUCUGAGAGUAUAGGCAACUAAACUGAAGAUGACAAGACUAUGAAUACACAUUCUGGUUUGAUAACUGCCUGCUUUUGAAGUUUUAUACUAUAUACAAAGUUGUGUUUUUAUUAAUACUGUUAUGUACUGAUAUAUUCAAUUAUACUAUGUCUGAUGAUAUAGCCAAUUCUAUUGAAGAUAACAAAAGACAACACAGUAACCAUGGUAGAACUCCUUAUACAGCAGUUUUAUAUGUCUUCUUCAUUUUAUGUGUUUAUAGGAAUAUGUUUUGUUUUGUCCUGCUUUAUUUUGUUUCUCCCUCGAAUAUAGAAAGGAUAGAAAUAUAUGUUAAGACUCAUGCAUGCAUAGAACCUAUAAACAGUUUAUGAGAACUGAUCUUAUGACAUAUGAUAAAAUGAACAAAUACUUUGAAGAAAAAGAGAUACUACAGUACCCAGAGCUGAUCCUGGAGUGUUAUGAUGUGAAAUCCAGCAAUUCGUUGUUCAGAGUGAUUUAGCCUGCUUUGGUUUAUUUAAUCUCAACAUAAAUGAAGAUAUGGAUAACCACAUGUCUGGUUAAGUGUAUAAGAUUGAUAACCAUAUUACCAAGUUUUUGUUGGAUAGUUUAACACAAUUGUUUGCAGUCUCACUGUUUGAAUCCCAACUUUAUAUGUUCCACUUUUGUAUCUUGAACAACUAUUUGUUAGAGGACAAUAUGUAAAAAUCAACCAGUGAUUUCUUACUGUUAAUUUUUUCUUUGAAAGUAUGUGCUAUUUCUACCUGUUUUCUGUUUUAUUUAGUCUCUCUUUAAAUAAAAAAAAUUUUUAAAUGAG